AGAGUUUGAUCCUGGCUCAGAACGUACGCUGGCGGCACGCCUAACACAUGCAAGUCGAACGAAGUAGCAAUACUUAGUGGCAGACGGGUGAGUAACAUGUGGGUAUCUACCCUUUGGCCUGGAAUAACACGAGGAAACUUGUGCUAAUACCGGAUAAGUCUUUACGGAGAAAGCUUUAUGCACCAUUGGAUGAGCCCGCACUUGAUUAGUUUGUUGGUAGGGUAAUGGCCUACCAAGACUAUGAUCAAUAGCUGAUUUGAGAGGAUGAUCAGCCACAUUGGGACUGAGACACGGCCCAAACUCCUACGGGAGGCAGCAGUGGGGAAUCUUGCACAAUGGAGGAAACUCUGAUGCAGCGAUGCCGCGUGAGUGAAGAAGGCCUUUGGGUUGUAAAGCUCUUUCGUCGGGGAAGAAAAUGACUGUACCCGAAUAAGAAGGUCCGGCUAACUUCGUGCCAGCAGCCGCGGUAAUACGAAGGGACCUAGCGUAGUUCGGAAUUACUGGGCUUAAAGAGUUCGUAGGUGGUUGAAAAAGUUGGUGGUGAAAUCCCAGAGCUUAACUCUGGAACUGCCAUCAAAACUUUUCAGCUAGAGUAUGAUAGAGGAAAGCAGAAUUUCUAGUGUAGAGGUGAAAUUCGUAGAUAUUAGAAAGAAUACCAAUUGCGAAGGCAGCUUUCUGGAUCAUUACUGACACUGAGGAACGAAAGCAUGGGUAGCGAAGAGGAUUAGAUACCCUCGUAGUCCAUGCCGUAAACGAUGUGUGUUAGACGUUGGAAAUUUAUUUUCAGUGUCGCAGGAAACCGAUAAACACACCGCCUGGGGAGUACGACCGCAAGGUUAAAACUCAA
rnacentral:rRNA from 1 species